UUACUCCUACGGGAGGCAGCAGUAAGGAAUAUUGGUCAAUGGGAGAAAUCCUGAACCAGCAACGCCGCGUGAAGGAUGAAGGGCUUUUGCUCGUAAACUUCUUUUUUGAGGGAAAAAUAUACGAUUUUAUCGUGUUGAUUGUACCUUAAGAAUAAGCCCCGGCUAACUACGUGCCAGCAGCCGCGGUAAUAA
rnacentral:rRNA from 1 species